rnacentral:rRNA from 1 species
CCCUUAGAUGUUCUGGGCCGCACGCGUGCUACACUGAGUAAAUCAAUGGGUAAGGGAACACGAAAGUGCAACCUAAUCUUGAAAUUUGCUCGUGAUGGGGAUCGACGGUUGCAAUUUUCCGUCGUGAACGAGGAAUACCUUGUAGGCGCGUGUCAUCAUCACGCGCCGAAUACGUCCCUGCCCUUUGUACACAUCGCCCGUCGCUCCUACCGAUUGAGUGAUCCGGUGAGGCUCUGGGACCUGGACGGAAAGAGCGUUUCGCUUGUUCUGUUUGGGAAACUUGGUCGAACCUUAUCAUUUAGAGGAAGGAGAAGUCGUAACA